rnacentral:rRNA from 1 species
UCAGACGAUGCGUCAUGCAUAUCAAUAAGCGAGGAAAAGAAACUAACAAGGAUUCCCCUAGUAACGGCGAGUGAAGCGGGAAGAGCUCAAAUUUGAAAUCUUAAAGGGUUUCCCUUUACGAAUUGUAGUUUAAAGAAGUGUUUUCUGUUGAGGUUUUGGUAAAAGUUCUUUGGAAUAGGACAUCAUAGAGGGUGAGAAUCCCGUAUUUGACCUUUACUUUCAACUUUGUGAUACACUUUCAAAGAGUCGGAUUGUUUGGGAAUGCAGUCCAAAAUGGGUGGUAAAUUUCAUCUAAAGCUAAAUAUUGGCGAGAGACCGAUAGCGAACAAGUACCGUGAGGGAAAGAUGAAAAGAACUUUGAAAAGAGAGUUAAACAGUACGUGAAAUUGUCAAAAGGGAAGCGUUUGACACCAGUGUUGUUUUUCUGAAAAUCAAUUAAAGAACUGUUUAUGCUAAGUUGUUUAGACUUUAUCAGCUAUACUGUUUAGUUUUGAGCUUUUCUUUAAUGCACUUUUCAGUUAACAAGUCAACAUCAAUUUCUUUUGCUGUAAAAAAGCUUGAGGAAGGUGGCUUGAGAUUCGUCUUAAGUGUUUAUAGCCUCUUGCCUAUGCAGUCGGAGAGAUUGAGGUCUGCAGCGUAGAUCCUUCGGGGCUAAAUGCAUUUGUGCUAAGUUAUAGCAUUUUCAUAGACAACUUGUUGACUAUGAUUUGUCUUGUAGCUUACUCGCUUAUGUUAUUUUACCUACGCUUAGGAUGUUGAAUCUGUGCGAGACUAC